AGAGUUUGAUCCUGGCUCAGGAUGGACGCUGGCGGCGUGCCUAAUACAUGCAAGUCGAGCGAACAGAUAAGGAGCUUGCUCCUUUGACGUUAGCGGCGGACGGGUGAGUAACACUGGGUAACCUACCUAUAAGACUGGAAUAACUCCGGGAAACCGGGGCUAAUGCCGGAUAAUAUUUAGAACCGCAUGGUUCUAAAGUGAAAGAUGGUUUUGCUAUCACUUAUAGAUGGACCCGCGCCGUAUUAGCUAGUUGGUGGGGUAAUGGCUUACCAAGGCAACGAUACGUAGCCGACCUGAGAGGGUGAUCGGCCACACUGGAACUAAGACACGGUCCAGACUCCUACGGGAGGCAGCAGUAGGGAAUCUUCCGCAAUGGGCGAAAGCCUGACGGAGCAACGCCGCGUGAGUGAUGAAGGUCUUCGGAUCGUAAAACUCUGUUAUUAGGGAAGAACAAAUGUGUAAGUAACUGUGCACGUCUUGACGGUACCUAAUCAGAAAGCCACGGCUAACUACGUG
rnacentral:rRNA from 1 species